rnacentral:tRNA from 1 species
GCGUCGGUAGUCCAACGGUUAGGAUUGAUGCCUUCCAAGCAUUAGACCCGGGUUCGACUCCCGGUCGACGCA